UGGACAGAAAGACCCUAUGAAGCUUUACUGUUCCCUGGGAUUGGGUUUGGGCCUUUUUUGCGCAGCCUAGGUGGGAGGCUAAGAAGAUAUUCUUCCGGGAAUGUUAGAGCCAUCCAUGAGAUACCACCCUAAAAAGGCUAGGAUUCUAACUCUAAGCCUAGAAGAAGGCUAGAGAACAGUCCCAGGUAGACAGUUUCUAUGGGGCGUAGGCCUCCUAAAGAGUAACGGAGGCGUGCAAAGGUUUCCUCGGGCUGGAUGGAAAUCAGUCUUCGAGUGCAAAGGCAAAAGGGAGCUUGACUGCAAGACUUACACGUCGAGCAGGGACGAAAGUCGGCCUUAGUGAUCCGACGGUGCCGAGUGGAAGGGCCGUCGCUCAACGGAUAAAAGUUACUCUAGGGAUA
rnacentral:rRNA from 1 species